rnacentral:lncRNA from 1 species
ACUCGGGAAAAACAACUGAUCUAAGGAUCACACUUUGAAUGUGCCUGGCUUCAAAGACAUUUUUUGGGGGAAAUUCCGAGUUCUCAUGCAGGCUUCAGUGAAUUCUUAUAGUCCAGAGAUCCAUGUUAGCAGGACACCAAGAUAUGUGGUGGCAAAAUCUCUUGGGAAUCUUAUUUCUUAAAUGCAGGAACAUAUGCAAACAAGAUGAUCAGAAAUCUAGCAGCCACCUUUGGUCAAAUAGCCAAAAAGACAAAAAGCCAAAAAAAAAAAAAAAAAAGAAAAAGAAAGAAAGAAAGAAAAAGCAUUGCAGCAGACAUCCUAAAUUCCUUAGCCCACAUAAUAAUAGAUAAAAGGGUUACCUGUAAUUUUUCUACUGACUAAAGAAGGAGGUAUUGGUGCUAAUAUUCACACUAUUUGUUCCACUUACGUCAUUACCCUUGGAGAGGUUUAGACAUGCUUAGGAAAAAACUUCUCAAAAGACACAACGGGCUCUAAGAUGUAACUUGUAACAUCUUGCUCCUUGACAGAAGGGAAGCUCUAGCCAAGACUGAAGUUCCUGCUACCAAGAGACAAUUGGGAUUCCCAGGAAUAGUGAUUUUCUGCUGCAUUUGGAUUCAUAGCAAAACCCCCUUAUGAAGCUCUUAAGGCAGGAGACUGUGAACCUCUAGAUUGGACUAAGGAAUGCUAUAAGGCACUCCAGGUUAUCAAAGAAAAACUGAUAACUGCUCUAGCUUUAUUUAUUUAUUUUUGGUCUGGUCAGCAGCAUGCAAAAGUUCCUGGGCCAGAGAUUGAACCCGUGCCACAGCGGUUAAAGAUCCAAUGAUAGAUCUUUAACUCCCAGGCCACCAUGGAACUCCUGCCCUGGUUUUAGGUCUUGCAUGUAUCAGAAAGCCUUCUGACUUACUUGUUCAUGAGAUGCAAGGAAUCAGCCUUGGAGCUGUAGCUCAGAACCUGGGUAGCCUAAGGAGGCCUGUUUCAUAUUUCUCAAAGCCAGUAGGUACACUUGCUAAGGGAUGGCCAGUCUGCCUUCAAGCUGUAGUGACUUCUGUGAUCUUUUACAAGAAAUGGAGAAAUUUAUACUAGGACCACCUAUGACUGUGCACCUCACUGUAUUCUCCCCCAGCCCACCCUGAACAAAAGAGCAAAUGUGGGUUAACUUCAGGAAGAUUGGGAAAAUAUCAGGCUUAUAUUAUUGGAUAAUUCUACUGUUACUCUAAAAGCAGUCUCUGCCUUGAAUCUUGCCCCUUUGCUCCGGAUGGAUACUAAAGUGCCUAUACAUGGUGGUAUUCGGAUAAUCAAACGGGUCUAUUCCAGCCAUUCGACCUGAUGGAUUGGCCUUUGGAAGACCCUUUUCCAGACCUUGAGGUGUUCAUAAAUAGGAGUAGCUUUAUGGACCAGGAAUGACACAAGCCUGGGUAGAUGAUGGUGACUGAUCAAGACACUGGAAGCAGAAGCCCUUCCACCAGGUACCUCCACACAAAAGGCGGAACUUAAAGCCCCAACCAAAGCCCUUUCUCGAGAUAAGGGUAAGAGUAAUUAUUUUCACUGAUUGUGAAUUUACUUUAUUGGUGGUCCAUGCCUGUGGGACCUUUUGAAGAAAGAAGACUUUUCAAUGCAGGGAAGAAGGAAAUUAAACAUGCCAAAGAAAUUUUAAACUUAUUAGAAACUGUCAUGGAGCAAAAAGAAUUGGCUAUUGUUUGCUGUCCCGGAUGUCAGAAAUUGACUGCUUAAGGGAAUAAUCCAGCAGAUUAAAUGGCAAAGCUAGCAGCCAUGACUAAAACACAUAGAUGUGCGAUUUGACAAGAGGCUAUCCAGAGUAUUCUCCUGAAGAUUUAGAAAAUGCCAGUGAAUGGGGAUUGAUGGGCAUCCUGGCCAUUUUCAGGAUGACAACUUAGAAGUAUACCAAGGAGGGGUAGAUUUAUAAUAGAUGAGGCAAAGUCCUUGUAUCUGAACAGCUUAUGGAAGAUGUAAUAAACUGUAAACACCAGAGUACCCACUAUGGGAGAAAUGCCAACCUCCAGUGGAUUCAUAAGUUCAUUUUAGGACAAGAAAUGCAAAGGAUAAUUCAAAAGAUGAUACAGAAAUGCAUCGAUGGGCUAAAAAUAAUCCUAAUACUGAGCUGCCAAAGGAAUCCAGACUUGAGGUGUUGGACCCAGCAGAAGACUGGCAGGUGGUACUGCGAUGCCAGGAGCCACUAGAAAUCUUGAGUGCUUACAAGUGUUUGUGGACACUUGUCCUGGUUGAGGCAGAAGCAUUCCUUUAUCGGACUGAAAAAAGCUUCUGAGGUUGUUAAUGGCCCACCAAAGGAAACAAUUCUGAGGUUUGGGUUACCUGUAUCCAUACCGAGUAACAAUUGGAGAUUCUUUUUAGCAAGAAUGACUCGAGAAGUACCUAGAGCCUUAAACCUUCAUCAGAAAUUACAUACUUUUUGGUGAUCCCAAUCUACUGGCAAAAUGGAAAAGAUGAAUCAUACUCUUUAAAAGGAUGUAGCUAAAAUAUGUCAGUCUAAUUUAACCUGGGAUAAGGCCUUACUGGUUGCCCUGCUUCAAGUGAAGAUGGCUCAUAGAAGCUCCAGUUGAGCCCCUAUAAAAUUCUGUAUGGGAGACCCUUCUAUUUUUCAGAAAUGGUUUAGGAAAUCCAGAAGGAACUCAAGGAACUAGACACUGUCAAGUAUGUACAAUCACAGAGACCCACUCUAACUGCUGCAAUUUGCUUCUAGCAGGUUGGUAUUUCUCAUGGAUAUGCCCCUCCACCACUUCUGUCCUAGAAACUGGGUCUUGCUAAAAUCUUGGGAGAGAAAAACAUCCAGAAGACCACCUUCAUCCCUGUUGGACUGGACCUUAUGAGGUGCUAUUCAUGACCCAUUCCUUGGUGAAGAUGAAGGGAAUUAAGCCACAGAUCCAUCGCACUUGAGUUAAGCCGGUCUAGCAGAGAUCAGCCUAGACAAGAAUGCAACAGGAAAAGGAAACCACGCUGCAGAACAGAACCAGAAUCGAGAACAUCCAAACCUUGGCUUCUUCUGCACCCCUGAUACUGACUUUCCUGAGUGGAAAAGUGAAGCCCUUAAAUGCUUUCCAGGAGGAAGACUCAAAAGAAAUUGAGGUGAAGAGAAUUGCUGUGGUGGUGAUGUUGGUAAACUCAUUGCAAAGCAAUCUAAGUAACUCCUUAGGUUACUACAAUGACUAUUCUUUUUUUGUUGUUGUUGUUAAGCUUUCUCUUUGUUUCUAACCUCCCAGGCUUGGAAAGACUCUCAGUGACAGGGAUUUCUCAGACUUUGGCCAAAGUAGGUAAUCUCUCUAGCUGUUGGAUAAAUUAUCCAAAACCUUUUCCUGUGUUUGAUCUUGCUGCCCCCUUGGUUGUGCUGUGAUCAGUUUCCUGGUGGUCCAUAACUUCACUGUGAUUUAGGAUAAAAAGUCCUCAGAACACACCAGGUUAGGCUAAUCGGAGAAUUUCCUGCCCCUUGUUUUCUCUUGACUAAGCCCAAAUUUGGUCCUCUCCUCAUAUCCUCAGACUAAAAUGGAAAUGACCCUGGCAUCUAUCUACCUCUGUCAAAGUUGUGCUUGGUCAAGAUACUGUAGAAACAGCUAUUAUUUUUCCCAGCCUAUGUCCGUUCCAUGUUUAAUACUUAGAUGUUUCAGCCAGACUGAUCGCGAUUGAGACACUCUUAGGUUGUUUUACCUUUCCACGUAUUAAACAUACUCUUAAGGGCCACCCAUACCUCUGCUGACUUGCAAAUCAAACAGCUCUGGAUGUUGCCUUAUACCUAAUCCUGACUUGACCAUGGCCUAGAUACAUUCCCUAAAAAUAAGAGCCUAAGUUCUAACAAUAUGUCUGGCAUUCUGGGUGCCCCCUGAGGGUACAACUUUGUUUGAAGUUUUUUUUUUUUUUUUUUUUUUGUCUUUUAGGGUCACAGCCAUGGCAUAUGGAGGUUCCCAGGCUAGGGGUAUAAUCGGAGCUAUAGCCACCGGCCUACACCAGAGCCACAGCAACAAGGGAUCUGAGCUGUGUCUGUGACCAACACCACAGCUCAUGGCAAUGCCGGAUCCUUAACCCACUGAACGAGGCCAGGGAUCGAACCUGCAACCUCAUGGUUCCUAGUUGGAUUCGUUAAUCACUGAGCCACGACGGGAACUCCUGUCUGCAGUUUUGAUCACCAAUCACCAAUUUUGGGCCUGUGAGCGCCUGAACUGGUGGUAUCUGUUGGGACACUUAGUCACAUCCUUUUUCGUCCACAAUCCAAACAAGGCCUGGCAGUGGACCAGUUCUUUAAAAUUGUUCUCUAGGGGAAAAAACAAAAAAAAAAAA